GGACGCAUGGCGCAGCUGGUUAGCGCAGAUGCUUUACACGCAUAAGGUCGUAGGUUCAAAUCCUACUGUGUCCA
rnacentral:tRNA from 1 species